rnacentral:rRNA from 1 species
CCGCGCGGCCCACUCGCAGUCACACGACGGACCAACCCACCUCAACCCGGUCCACGCCCCCAAAUUUCUGGUGGCUUCCGUGCCUCUGGAUCCCCUCCCAUCCCAUCCCACUUCUCCCCCGCGCUCCUCCUCCCCGUCCGGCGCAUGUAAGCUCCUCCUCCCCGUCCGCCCCGCCCGUCCGAGCGGCCAUGGCGUCCACGCUGCUGCGCAAGGUGUGGGGCACCGUGCUGGCCCGCGCGGUGCCGCGCGACCCGGACGCCUCCGCCUCCUCCUCCUCCCCGCGCCGCCGCGGCGCCCCGGCGGCGGCGGCGGCGGAGUACGGCUCCCUGGGCGCGCUCGACGCGGUGCCGAUCGACGUGCUGGCGCAGAUCCUGCGCCUGCUGGGCCCCGCCGACGCCGCGCGCUCCGCCGCCGUGUGCCGCACCUGGCGUCUCCUCGCCUCCGACAACGCGCUCUGGGCCUUCUUCCUCAGCCUCGGCCCCGACCCCUGGGACCUCGUCGUCUUCGCCGAGACCCACCUCGCCGCCGGCUCCGCCGAGCCCCGCAGCGUCUACUUCGGCACUGUUCGCGUCCCGCCGCAGCUCUCCUUCAAGCGCAUCUACGGACAGCGAGCGCUCGUUCCAGGCUCUAUCAUAGUCGAUGGUGGAUCAGGCUAUUGCAAGUAUGGCUGGAGCAAGUAUGCUGCUCCUUCUGGGCGUUGUGCAACUUUUCUGGAAUUUGGUAACAUCGAGUCCCCUAUGUAUGCAAGACUUCGUCAUUUUUUCUCAACAAUCUAUAACAGGAUACAUGUAAAGCCUUCUGCUCGACCAAUUGUUGUUGCCCUUCCCCUCUGCCACUCCGAUGAUACCGAGGCUGCUAGGGCCUCAAGAAAGCAAUACAAGGAGACAUUGUACUCGGUUUUGUUCGACAUGAAUGUUCCUGCAGUUUGUGCUGUUGAUCAAGCACUCCUAGCUUUGUAUGCUGCUAGACGAACCUCUGGUAUUGUUGUCAACAUUGGAUUCAAUGUCACAUCCGUUGUUCCCAUCUUUCAAGGUAGGGUGAUGCGUGAGAUAGGCAUUGAAACUGUGGGGCAAGGUGCUCUGAAACUUACUGGAUUUCUAAAGGAGCUAUUGCAGCGAAGGAAUAUUUCUUUUGAAUCACUGUACACUGUUCGAACAAUCAAGGAGAAAAUUUGCUACGUCGCGGCUGAUUAUGAAGCAGAACUAUGUAAGAACACACAAGCUUCCUGUGAGGUGGAUGGUGAAGGGUGGUUCACUCUAUCAGAAGAAAGAUUCAAGAUGGCAGAAAUCCUUUUCCAGCCCCAGAUUGGAGGAGUUCGUGCUAUGGCUUUGCACAAAGCAGUAUCUCUAUGUAUGGAUCACUGCUACAAUUAUGAGGUGCUCCGUGACCACAGCUGGUUCAAGACGGUGGUUUUAGCUGGUGGAUCGUCGUGCUUACCUGGUUUGCCAGAGAGGCUCGAGAAAGAGCUCCACAAACUUCUUCCUCCAUACAUCUCAGAAGGAAUAAGGGUUCUGCCUCCUCCAUUUGGCACAGACACCGCCUGGUUCGGUGCAAAGAUGAUCGGCACUGUGAGCACUUUCUCGGACGCAUGGUGCAUAAACAAGAAGCAGUUCCGCCAGAAGUCACGCCACAGUGGUUCGUCUUUAGUGAAUGCAUGGCGAUAGAUCCUAACGGCCGCAGCUAUAACUGGCAAAGCCAGGGAAAGAGCCAUGAGGUUGUUAUCCUCUAAAAUAUGCUACAGAUCUAUACAGCAUCAGUCCAAGGUGUACAUAACAGAGAUAGAUUAUUGCGAGUAAGUAAAAAUGAUAGAUUGUUAUUGGUUAUGGGAUGCUGUAUAGCACAAGUGAAUGCAUCACGCUGUGCGCAUUUAGUAUGAUUCUCUAUCAUUUAUGUACCCGUACAUUAUUGUUUUGCAGAUGGAAUAAUACCGUCUAUUUAUCUUGAACUGGAUCACCCUCUAAUUUAUCGUUGCCCUUCCAAUUCUCUUUGUUUUUUGAAGUUAAAUUUGGCUUUUACUCCUUCCGUU